UAGGGAAUCUUCCACAAUGGACGCAAGUCUGAUGGAGCAACGCCGCGUGAGUGAAGAAGGUUUUCGGACCGUAAAGCUCUGUUGUUGGUGAAGAAGGAUAGAGGUAGUAACUGGCCUUUAUUUGACGGUAAUCAACCAGAAAGUCACGGCUAACUACGUGCCAGCAGCCGCGGUAAUCGUAGGUGGCAAGCGUUGUCCGGAUUUAUUGGGCGUAAAGCGAGCGCAGGCGGAAGAAUAAGUCUGAUGUGAAAGCCCUCGGCUUAACCGAGGAAUUGCAUCGGAAACUGUUUUCUUGAGUGCAGAAGAGGAGAGUGGAACUCCAUGUGUAGCGGUGGAAUGCGUAGAUAUAUGGAAGAAUACCCAGUGGCGAAGGCGGCUCUCUGGUCUGCAACUGACGCUGAGGCUCGAAAGCAUGGGUAGCGAACAGGAUUAGAUACCCCUGGUAGU
rnacentral:rRNA from 1 species